GCAGGCUGCAACUCGCCUGCAUGAAGCUGGAAUUGCUAGUAAUCGCGGAUCAGCAUGCCGCGGUGAAUACGUUCCCGGGCCUUGUACACACCGCCCGUCACACCAUGAGAGUCGGGAACACCCGAAGUCCGUAGUCUAACCCGCAAGGGAGGGCGCGGCCGAAGGUGGGUCCGGUAAUUGGGGUGAAGUCGUAACAAGGUACC
rnacentral:rRNA from 1 species